UACCACUGGCCGAGUAUCGGAGGGGAGAGAUCGCGGCCCCUUCCUCCUGCCGGCUGGUAGUGCGUCGGUACUACGGCCGCCUCGGCCUGGCGCUAAACUUAAAAAUGACGCCAGGGAAGUGCUGAGCACCAGCAGCCGACCAGCCCCGGAAACGAAACCAAAUUCGUACCGCGGGCCGCUUCCUAGCUCUCCCAGACCCUUGGCGCGCCGCGCUACCCGGAAUAGACCCUUCUCCCGCCAUUUUCGGCUUGUUCUCAGUCGGGACCCGCGCGCAGCCGGCCCCGCGCUCCAAGAGCUGAGGCUCGCGGCUCCGGGGCUCGCCCCGCGUGGUGCUCGUGUCCCGGGAUCGGCGGGCAGCAUGGCCGCCGCCGUGGACUCUGGGGACGGGCUUCACGCCCGGCAGUACGUGUUCCUGCUUCCAGGCCUGCCCAAUCUUUGUCUGAAAAGUGGACUUCGGGGAUGGUUUCAGUUCUGGGUUAGCAGGGUGUCCAGGAGCCAUAGUCUUGGGGGUUCUUCCAGUCUCCGUCAGACCGAAUAUUUGAAAGAUGCUUCAAAGAAGAUGAAAAGUGGGCUUAUGUUUGUAAAGUUGGUUAACCCAUGUUCAGGGGAAGGAGCCAUUUACCUGUUCGAUAUGUGUCUACAGCAGCUGUUUGAGAUAAAAAUUUUCAAGGAGAAACACCGUUCUUGGUUCAUAAACCAAUCAGUUCAGUCAGAAGGUCAUCUCCACUUUGCUACACCAAUGGACCCAUUAUUUCUGGUUCUCCACUAUCUUAUGAAGGCUGAUAAAGAGGGAAAAUUCCAGCCUCUAGAUCAAGUUGUGAUGGAUGACACGUUUCCGAAUUGCACCCUGUUGCUGAAACUUCCUGAGCUUGAGAAGUUCCUUGGUCAUGUAACAGAGGAAAAAGAAAUAGACAGCAAAAAAUAUUACAAGUACAGCAAAGAGAAGACACUGAAGUGGCUGGAAAAAAAGGUGAAUCAGACUAUGGUGGCGUUAAAAACCAAUAAAAUAAAUGUUGGCGCCCGGGUCCAGUCCGCUGUAUUUUUCCCCAGUGACCAGAUGUCCAGUAAUAGGGAAGAGGAUUACAUUCGUUAUGCCCAUGGUCUGAUAUCUGAUUACAUUCCUAAAGAAUUAAGUGAUGACUUAUCUAAACACUUAAAGCUUUCACAGCCUUCAGCUUCAUUGCCAAACCCUCCAUCAAAGGGACUCCAGAGAGUGGAGAAGCCAGUCAUGAGCCACACCUCAUCUCAAAAUGAAGUAUCAUUCAGCCCAGGCCAGAUCUCAGAUGAGUCGGCGCUGCUCAGAGACAGGAAGUAAGCUUGUCAGUGAGGUCAUUCUCCUUGCGCCUACUGCAGCCAGUGAAAUCAUGGUGGCCCUGAGAACGUGAAGGACAUGUCACGGAUGUUCAACAGCGUCCCUUCCCCAUGUAUUCAUCCCUUGUGUGUCAAGGUCGCCAACAUACCCAGCACUUUUUUUGAAUCAUGUCUUGUUUGGAGGUGAUGGAGCCUCCAAAAACACUUACUACUUUGACUUUUAGAAAAGGACUACUAAGUUUUUAAAAUCUUCGUUGUGACUUUUGGACCAUUUUCAGCAGGUUGUCAAAGGAGCCCCAAUGUUUACCCUCAAAAAAUAGCACCAGGAAGAAAUGAGAUGCUGUAAGAUACAGUAAAGCCUCUGAAAGACAGAACCUGUGUAAGGCAGAAACCUAUCAGGGAAGGAAAACUCAAAUAUUUUCCACUAAUUCAAGAGUGAUAGAGAAGUGGUGACCGUGCCCUGUAAAAAGCAGAAGACUUUCAAGAGCCGGAAAAACAAGGCAGUCUCAUCAAGUUCCAGCUAUCACAAAUUUCACUGUAUAAGAAAACUACCUCUGGGUUGGACCUGCCAGCCUCCAACCUAGUAGUUAAAUCUCCAGUUGUAGCAGUAAAAACCAAACCAAACCCUCUGGGUGCACACGGCCACACCUUUCUCCCUCGGAGCAGCUGGUCCAGUUGUAGCAGUAAAAACCAAACCAAACCCUCUGGAUGCAGACGGCCACACCUUUCUCCCUCGGAGCAGCUGGUCCAGUUGUAGCAGUAAAAACCAAACCAAACCCUCUGGGUGCACACGGCCACACCUUUCUCCCUCGGAGCAGCUGGUCCAGUUGUAGCAGUAAAAACCAAACCAAACCCUCUGGAUGCAGACGGCCACACCUUUCUCCCUCGGAGCAGCUGGUCCAGUUGUAGCAGUAAAAACCAAACCAAACCCUCUGGAUGCAGACGGCCACACCUUUCUCCCUCGGAGCAGCUGGUCCAGUUGUAGCAGUAAAAACCAAACCAAACCCUCUGGAUGCAGACGGCCACACCUUUCUCCCUCGGAGCAGCUGGUCCAGCUGUAGCAGUAAAAACCAAACCAAACCCUCUGGGUGCACACGGCCACACCUUUCUCCCUCGGAGCAGCUGGUCCAGUUGUAGCAGUAAAAACCAAACCAAACCCUCUGGGUGCACACGGCCACACCUUUCUCCCUCAGAGCAGCUGGUCCAGUUGUAGCAGUAAAAACCAAACCAAACCCUCUGGAUACAGACGGCCACACCUUUCUCCCUCGGAGCAGCUGGUCCAGUUGUAGCAGUAAAAACCAAACCAAACCCUCUGGGUGCACACGGCCACACCUUUCUCCCUCGGAGCAGCUGGUCCAGUUGUAGCAGUAAAAACCAAACCAAACCCUCUGGAUGCAGACGGCCACACCUUUCUCCCUCGGAGCAGCUGGUCCAGUUGUAGCAGUAAAAACCAAACCAAACCCUCUGGGUGCACACGGCCACACCUUUCUCCCUCGGAACAGCUGGUCCAGUUGUAGCAGUAAAAACCAAACCAAACCCUCUGGAUACAGACGGCCACACCUUUCUCCCUCGGAGCAGCUGGUCCAGUUGUAGCAGUAAAAACCAAACCAAACCCUCUGGAUGCAGAUGGCCACACCUUUCUCCCUCGGAGCAGCUGGUCCAGUUGUAGCAGUAAAAACCAAACCAAACCCUCUGGAUGCAGACGGCCACACCUUUCUCCUUCGGAGCAGCUGAAAAUAAAGUUGUCUGAUGAGCCUGUAGAAGCAAAAGAAGAUUAUACUAAGUUUAACACUAAAGAUUUGAAGACCGAAAAG